rnacentral:sRNA from 1 species
GGAUUCGAACUCAUGAUAUGCGGUUCAGAAGCCAAUUACUUUAACCACUAAAAUAUGACGAUCUACAACCUAAUGAAUGAUAUACAUAGAGUUAAUCCUGACAACACAAUAAAAACAGAACGUUUUGGUUGUGUUUACACAGGAAAUGUGUAAUAUUAAUAUAAUAGAAGCAUGCAUCAUAAUUUAUGAAUCGAAGCUUUAUUUAUAUCUUUUAUUUAAUGUACUUCACAAACUUAUUGGUUGAACAAUUAGAAAAUUAAAAACAAACUAAUAGGUUGAACAAUAUUAAAUUUGGAAAUCACAAAAAUUCUCAAGGAGUUAAUCCUGACAACACAAUAAAAACAGAUCGUUUUGGUUGUCUUUACACAGGAAAUGAAGGAAAUAAUGCCCGCUGAUACGUCUAUUUUACAACCAUUAAGCAUUCUCACUCAAUAUCUUAAACCUUAAUCCAUAAUUAUUUGUUUGAUGGUAUGAAAAUCAACAAUUGUUAAACUUUAUCUAAUUUGUAUCAUGCUGUGAAUGUAAAAUUUGACUUGUUUGUUGCUGUUGUUGAACCUUGAUAUUGACACGAAAGUGAACAGCUAAUUAUUUAAGCCUUGUAGGAAAUGCUUUAAUAAACAGGAAGAUCAAUGACUGAAAAGUCUGCAAACAAAGGUU